GCGGCGGCUGCUUCUAGGUCGCGCGCCAGAUUUGCCACCCCGUAGAAAUCAACUAGUGGAUUAUAUCUUGUGUGUUGACGGGAUGACAGAAUCAGGUGGGGCGCCGCCGGCGAGUCUUAAUCGAUCUACCACAGGCGAUGAUGGGGGAGUAGCUAGCCAGAAGGCAGAUCCAGCCGACCGUGGAGCUACUCUGGUUCUUUCCAAAAAGAAAUUACCAGCAGUUCGAAAACGGAAAGGGAUGAACCAAAAAGAAACACCACAGAGUUUGCGUGAGCCUGGGAAAGAAAGUAUUGAACCGAAGGAAUCAUCUGGGGUUUGCGAUGUGAUGCUUGAAUUUGACCAAUUUGUGCAGUACCAUGAGAUGAAGAAGAAAACAGAGG